AUCCACAGCAAUCCGUACCGCAAACCAACUCAGGUGGGUGGGAUGAACAAUCCUAAGGCGCUCGAGAGAACUCUGGCCAAGGAACUCGGCAAAAUAACCCCGUAACUUCGGAAGAAGGGGUGCUCUCUAGGGUGACAUGUUUAACAUAUGAAGCCCCGGGGAGCCGCAGUGAAUUGGUGGUGGCGACUGUUUACUAAAAACAUAGGUCUGUGCGAAGUCCUAAAGACGACGUAUACGGACUGACGCCUGCCCGGUGCUGGAAGGUUAAAAGGAGGGGUCAGCGCAAGCAAAGCUCCGAAUUGAAGCCCCAGUAAACGGCGGCCGUAACUAUAACGGUCCUAAGGUAGCGAAAUUCCUUGUCGGGUAAGUUCCGACCUGCACGAAUGGCGUAACGAUCUCCACACUGUCUCGGCCAGAGACUCGGUGAAAUUGCAGUCGCGGUGAAAAUUCCGUGUACCCGCAGAAAGACGGAAAGACCCUGUGCACCUUUACUAUAGCUUGACAUUGGAUUUUGGGCCUGCAUGUGUAGGAUAGGUGGGAGGCUGCGAACCCUGUACGCCAGUAUGGGGGGAGCCAUCCUUGAAAUACCACCCUUGCAUGUUUAAGAUCCUAACUUCUUCCGGUUAUCCCGGAGAAAGACAGUGUCUGGCGGGUAGUUUGACUGGGGCGGUCGCCUCCUAAAGUGUAACGGAGGCAUGCAAAGGUUCCCUCAGCCUGAUCGGAAACCAGGCGCUGAGUGCAAACGCAUAAGGGAGCUUGACUGUAAGAGAGACAUCUCGAACAGGAACGAAAGUUGGCGUUAGUGAUCCGGUGGUCCCGUAUGGAAGGGCCAUCGCUCAUUGGAUAAAAGGUACGCCGGGGAUAACAGGCUGAUCGCAUCCAAGAGUUCACAUCGACGAUGCGGUUUGGCACCUCGAUGUCGGCUCAUCACAUCCUGGGGCUGAAGCAGGUCCCAAGGGUACGGCUGUUCGCCGUUUAAAGUGGUACGCGAGCUGGGUUUAAAACGUCGUGAGACAGUUUGGUCCCUAUCUUCUGUGGGCGCAGGAGAAUUGAAAGGGCCUGUCCCUAGUACGAGAGGACCGGGAUGGACGCACCCCUGGUGGACCUGUUGUCGUGCCAACGGCACAGCAGGGUAGCUAUGUGCGGAAGGGAUAACCGCUGAAAGCAUCUAAGCGGGAAGCCUGCCUCAAGAUAAGUUCUCCCUGGAGCAAUCCCUAAAGGGCCGAGGUAGACUACCUCGUUGAUAGGCUGGAGGUGGAAGCGCCGCGAGGUGUGGAGCUGACCAGUACUAAUAGCCCGUGCGGCUUGUGUUU
rnacentral:rRNA from 1 species